GCGCUGUGUUCCUCCUCACUCCUUAGACUCAAUGCUUCCUAAGUUCAGCUGCACAUUGGAAUCACCUGUGGAGCUUUAAAAAUGACUGAUGCCUGGGUCUCUAACAAAAGCUUCUGAUUUGGCUGUUCUGGGGUGGGACCUGGACAUCUGGGUUUUAAAAACUCCCUAGGUGAUUCUAAGGAGCAGCCAAGGUCGUGAGACUCUGUCUAAGAGUCCAAGUCCACAGGCCACUAGCCAUCUAGGAACUUAUUAAAAAUGUGGAUUUCUGGGCCCCAUCUCAGGUCUAUCAGAUCAGCAUCUCUGGGUGUGCACCUGGGAAUUAGCACGUGUCACAGGCUUUCCAGGUGAUUCCUGUGCAUGCUCAAGUUUAAUGAGAAGGACUGCCUCAGAGGAUUCUUCCUCACCCCAGAGGUGCCCAAGGCCAUGAAUGGUUGAUACUGACAGUAUUCUAUUUAGUUUGCCAAGGGCAAUGACGAAUCUCACACCAGCCCCCAAACAAGUUAGCCCUCCAGUGGGGCAAGAUCACUCAGGGAUGGAGAGCAAUUCUAGAAGUCACAGCUCUGCCUAGACUUGCCUGGACUUGCCCUGCCCUGGCUUGCCUGGAGCCUGCAUAGGCCCAGGACUGAGCAAGCCUCAAGUCCAGAAGGCAAGUCCACAGCACAGGCUCGGCUUGAGGAGCCAAGGAAGACAGGAAAUAAAUGGAAGUGAUACCCAAGGACAUGGGCUUGCGGAAGAGGCAAUGGGAGAGAGGGCAGGACUGGGAAACAUGGAAGCUCAGGGAUGAGGUAUGCUUGGAUAUUGCUCUAGAUGUUGUAAACAUUUCUCUUUGUUUCAUCACAGACCAAAAUCUGGGUUGGCACGACCAGAGUGCCUGAAAGUAGGCAUCAGAGUGGAGAGCUCUGUGCCUCUUGUGGGAAGCAGGGCAUACAAGGUAUGAGGAAAGCUCCACCCCACGGGAAGAUCAUGUCUGCCGUGUACUAGUCUAAUGCUCACAGUUGUCACACACACACAAACACACAGAGACACUCCACAGGAGUACCAUAAAUUUAGCUAUCACGUUCCUCUACACAUGGACACAUGCCCACAUACCCUUGCUUAGCUGCAAAAUUCAGGAUCCCCAAGCUUGGUCUUUCACACCUCCCCAUUGUGGGAGGAAGUCACCAGGGCGCCAUGACACCACCAUCUGCAGCCUUCGUUUCCUCAAUAGUUGGCAAGAACUCUAGGCCUCUCUAUGAGGCCAUCGCACGACACUCUUGUUCAGGCUUUUCUCCUUGGAAUAGUGGAAGUGGAGAAAAAUCCCCUUUCAGAAUGUUUCACAUUUCUAUAACUCUGUGCAGUUCUAAUUUAUAUGCACCUCAUAUUCGACAGUAGAGUUGGCAGCAGAUGCACAUUUCAUAUGUAAACAAUGUUUAAAAUACCCUGUUAGAGAAUUUAAUCAUUAAAUUAAUUCUGGCAGCUUUAUCUAAGAAAGAAUGAUUUGUUUUUUUAACCACGGUUGGGAGGAUACUACCUGAUCUAACUAGGAACACCCAUUUGAGGCUUUGGAGUUCUCAAACACAAAAUUCCACAGGUCUUUUCGGUGUCUGUGAGGGCUAGGAGACAUGUGUUCUUCUCUCCCCUUGAGGUUCACACAGUCACACCCACCCUCACUCACAGAUAACAAUGUGCUGUAGCAGUGCAGUGGCCCUAGCACUAGUGGGACUCAAGGGCUUUCUUGGCCUGGUCUAGCUAUAGCUAAAAAAGGAAGAGAUUCUCAAAGUUACUGGAGAGGAACACAAGCACUAGAACGCCACCAGCAUAACGUUAAAAGGCCCCUCACCCCUUAAAAGGAAAAUGGUUCAGCCCAGUUCUCAAUCAUCUGCACUCCAGAGCUUAUGCCUAAUCAUGUGCUGUUCCACUUAGUCAAGCUGAACGUUUUGUAGAUCUGCAAUGAAUCCAAAUCCACUGGUCGUGAAUUAUUCCAAUAGUAACUCCACUCUGUUAUCCUCUCCACCUGGAAACCAGCCUCUUACAUGCCCCUCUUUCACUUUCCGGUCUCUCUGCUAAAGGUUCAUCUCCUGGGCACUAGUCUUGUGCCAAAGUCAGCUUUUUCCUGGGUGGCUAGAGUAGGUUCCAGGCUGCUCACUCAUCCUCCAAGGAAGAAUUGCCUGACACAUUUCCAAGAGCAGCUGCAGGGUACCAUGAAAGCAUUUUAGGAAGGUUGUCCACGUCCAGAUGUUCACAGUGAUCUUCUUAGCCACACCUCCUAUUUCAUGCUCAAUUCCAAAAGGUCAAAGAUCAAGAAAGAAGGUGAGGGCAGAGAAGACACUGAGCAACAGACAGGUUACAUGGUACCCCUUUGAAUAGAAGUCUACUGGUGCUACUUGCCCUCGUCUCUUGACUUCUGGAAAAGUUCUUCGUAGAAUUGAGGAAGAUUUGCAAGCUGUAUCUUUCUUAAUGGCAGUUCCACUUCAGAAGUCAUGAAGAACAUCACCCAAGACUCUUUCUGGAAAUGUAAGGUUAGGGUAGUCUUGUGAAUUUCCUAGGCCAAGAUGGGAAGUAAUCACAGUUUUUCACACUGGUCCAAUGGAAAUGGAAGAAAC
rnacentral:lncRNA from 10 species